CCUACGGGAGGCAGCAGUAGGGAAUCUUCCACAAUGGGCGAAAGCCUGAUGGAGCAACGCCGCGUGGGUGAAGAAGGUCUUCGGAUCGUAAAACCCUGUUGUUAGAGAAGAAAGUGCGUGAGAGUAACUGUUCACGUUUCGACGGUAUCUAACCAGAAAGCCACGGCUAACUACGUGCCAGCAGCCGCGGUAAUACGUAGGUGGCAAGCGUUAUCCGGCUUUAUUUGGCGUAAAGGGGACGCAGGCGGUCUUUUAAGUCUGAUGUGAAAGCCUUGGGCUUAACCGGAGUAGUGCAUUGGAAACUGGGAGACUUGAGUGCAGAAGAGGAGAGUGGAACUCCAUGUGUAGCGGUGAAAUGCGUAGAUAUAUGGAAGAACACCAGUGGCGAAAGCGGCUCUCUGGUCUGUAACUGACGCUGAGGUUCGAAAGCGUGGGUAGCAAACAGGAUUAGAUACCCCGGUAGUC
rnacentral:rRNA from 1 species